rnacentral:rRNA from 1 species
AACGAAAUAAUCGUGAAACCGCGAACGGCUCAUUACAACAGCUGUAAUUUACUUGAUCUUGACUGAAAUUAGGAUAACUGUGGUAAUUCUGGAGCUAAUACAUGCAUCAUUGCUCUGACCUUACGGGACGAGUGCACUUAUUAGAACAAAACCAGGCGGCUUUGUCGUGUUUUGUUGACUCUGGAUAACUCAGCUAAUCGCAUGGUCUCGUACCGGCGAUUUUCCUGUCAAGUGUCUGCCUUAUCAACUUUCGAUGGUAGUGUAUAUGACUACCAUGGUUGUGACGGGUAACGGAGGAUUAGGGUUUGACUCCGGAGAAGGGGCCUUAGAAAUGGCCACUACGUCCAAGGAUGGCAGCAGGCGCGCAAAUUACUCCAUCUCAGAAUGAGGAGGUAGUGACGAGAAAUAACGAGACCGGUCUCUUUGAGGACGGUCAUUGGAAUGGGUACAAUAUAAACCCUUUAACGAGUAUCAAUGAGUGGGCAAGCCUGGUGCCAGCAGCCGCGGUAAUUCCAGCACUCAUAACACAUAGAAUUAUUGCUGUGGUUAAAAAGCUCGUAGUUGGAUCUGGGCCGUUGUGAGUCGGUGCACUUGCAUGGGUGCGUACUGAGCUCCUCGGCUUUGCAGCUUGUUCACUAGCUUGGUCUUUAUUGGCCGUAGCGGGUGACUUGCUAUUUUACUUUGAACAAAUCAGAGUGUUUAUAACAAGCGUUUCGCUUGAAUGUUUUUGCAUGGAAUAAUAGAAAAGGAUUUCGGUCCUAUUUUAUUGGUUUUAAAGACUGAAAUAAUGGUUAAUAGGGACAAACGGGGGCAUUCGUAUCGUUGCGCGAGAGGUGAAAUUCUUGGACCGUAACGAGACGUCCUUCAGCGAAAGCAAUUGCCAAGAAUGUCUUCAUUAAUCAUGAACGAGAGUAUAGAGAACGAAGGAGAUCAGAUACCUCCCUAGCCUAUACUGUAAACUAUGUCAACCAGCGAUCCGCCGGCGGAUUUUCUGCCUUGGUGGGGAGCUUGCCGGAAACGAAAGUUUUUCGAUUCCGGGGGAAUGUAUGACUGCAAAGUUGAAACUUAAAGGAAUUGACGGAAGGGCACCACCAGGAGUGGAGCCUGCGGCUUAAUUUGACUCAACACGGGAAAACUCACCCGGCCCGGACACUGUUUGGAUUGACAGAUUGAUAGCUCUUUCAUGAUUUGGUGGUUGGUGGUGCAUGGCCGUUCUUAGUUCGUGGAGCGAUUUGUCUGGUUUAUUCCGAUAACGAGCGAGACUCUAGCCUAUUAAAUAGCAGCUCGUAGAUUAAUAUUGUUGGCAGCACACUUCUUAGAGGGAUUUUCGGUGUUUAGUCGUAUGAAAUUGAGCAAUAACAGGUCUGUGAUGCCCUUAGAUGUCCGGGGCUGCACGCGCGCUACACUGGCGCAAUCAGCGUGCUUAUCCUUUCCCGUAAGGGAUUGGUAAACAAGUCAAAAUCUGCCGUGAUUGGGAUUGGAAAUUGCAAUUAUUUUCCGUAAACGAGGAAUUCCAAGUAAAUGCGAGUCAUUAGCUCGUGUUGAUUACGUCCCUGCCCUUUGUACACACCGCCCGUCGCUGCCCGGGACUGAGCCAUUUCGAGAAAUUUGGGGAUUGCCGAUUGGCGAACCUUCGGGAUUGCUUUUUGGCGAAAACCAAACUGAUCGCAUUGGCUUGAACCGGGC